UCUUCUUUGCAGUCCUACAUAUAGAGAUGAGCAUUUUCGGCGUCUGUAAUACUGCUGAUCUGUUCUGUCUAAACCUAAGCUGUAUCUUUGAGAAGAGUCUUUGGCCAUUUGGUCCCUUUCAAAGGAAGACUUGAAGGUGCUGCACUUCAUUUCAGGAAACACAAUUUGAUUGGGCUCCAGGACUUCUGAUUUGUUCUCCUCAACCACUGGACAUCACAAAGGGCUGAAAGCCAAUCCUAAUUUUUUGCUGAAGAUUCAGUGGGGCAACAUAGAUUAAUUCCUUUUGCCUCUGCUACCAGAACAUCUUGCAAAAGGAGACUAAAGGAAUGGAUGAAGAUAGAAUGAGCACUAGAUUCCCACAAACAUUGUCCACGGAGAUUCUGAAGUCCUAAACUGGAAGAGAGGAGGAUAUCUUGUGUGGGGCUCCAACCAGUAUCUCAAAGACUGAAGUAACAGAGGCACUAUGGAUUUUGCCUACAUUUCAAACAAGAAAUAUAUGUGAUGAUUCAGAUAGAACUGAUGGCAAAUGUAGAGCUAAACAUUUCUCUGAUAUGGCAAAGAAGUAUCCUGCACUGAUGCCAUGGACAAUGGAAAUUUUUUUCAAACUAACUGCAUGAUUAAACUGUACUUGUUUUCAUUUGAUUGUAUGACCUUAAUACGCUUAAUACGCUGAAGUAUUUCUUUGCAAGUUGUUAAACUCCUGUUCUGUACUUUAUAUGCAGUUAUGUUCACCUGUUAGAAAGAUACCCAAUAUUUAUGAUUCUGUAGACAUCAGCAGUAGAGCUAGCAGAGAAGUCUCUUACUCAGAGCUGAAUUAAUAACCUGGCGUAGCAUCGGGGCCAUUGUGCUGGUGGAAGUUAUAUAUUUCAGAUAAGACACGUUGUUUUGCAUAACUGAACUAGUGAAUAGUAUUAAUGUUACCAGGACAUUGGAAUAAUUCAGUGAUGAGAAAAAAUAUUCCAUGAUCUCUAAUCCUACAUUAGAGGAAUCAGAUAUGUCUGUAGUCUCAGUAGAAGAAAAUCAGUAUUUCUGUAAUUUCAACAAAGGUAUUCCUGUGUUCAGUCAUAGAAGUACCUCAGUCUUAGGAACACCAAGGCAAAUCCAGUGUUCUUACUUCUUGCCUAGAAAUAAACAAACAAAACCAAACAACAACACAACAUUUGCAACAUUUGUGAUUUCAACUGGAUGAAAUAAUCUUGCUUUUCCCAUCCUAAACUGCCAAAACCAUUUGCAAUCCAUUCUGACAAAUGCUAAGUAUUCUUUAGGUACAUCUGCAAAUUAUACUUGGAAGUAAGUUAACAUACAGAAAUAGUUUGAUACUUCUGUUCAGCCAAAGAGCACAAGAAUUUCUUCAAAUGACCUUUUCCAAAAAUCGUUUGAUCUUACCUUCUUUUUUUUUUUUUUUUUUUCCAUCACAGUGGAUUGUGGUUCCAUAAUCAUUCUGAUUCUUUUUCUCAUAUACUAAAUUUUAAUGUGUACCUAAAUGUAUAGCUUCAAAAGUGCAAUAAUCUUUUCUCUGUGAUCAAGCUCACACAAGCACAGAUGAUGUAGUCUUUUUUCAAAUGUAUCUAGGGGAAAUCCAGUGUCACCUCUUUCUCACUGGAGCCCCACUACCUUUUUGUUCUCUAUUUUUAUUGAUACAAACAUUUCACUUUUAGUUAACAAUUAUAAAUCAUAAUAAAGUUUUCAGUCUCUGC
rnacentral:lncRNA from 7 species